UACGUAGGGUGCAAGCGUUGUCCGGAAUUAUUGGGCGUAAAGAGCUCGUAGGCGGUCUGUCGCGUCGGCUGUGAAAACCCGGAGCUCAACUCCGGGCCUGCAGUCGAUACGGGCAGACUGGAGUUCGGCAGGGGAGACUGGAAUUCCUGGUGUAGCGGUGAAAUGCGCAGAUAUCAGGAGGAACACCGGUGGCGAAGGCGGUGGUCUGGGCCGGUACUGACGCUGAGGAGCGAAAGCGUGGGGAGCAAACAGG
rnacentral:rRNA from 1 species